GAUGAACGCUGGCGGCGUGCUUAACACAUGCAAGUCGAACGAUGAAGCCCAGCUUGCUGGGCGGAUUAGUGGCGAACGGGUGAGUAACACGUGAGUAACCUGCCCUUGACUCUGGGAUAAGCCCGGGAAACUGGGUCUAAUACCGGAAAGGAGCGCCUGUCGCAUGACGGGUGCUGGAAAGAUCUUUCGGUCAUGGAUGGACUCGCGGCCUAUCAGCUUGUUGGUGAGGUAACGGCUCACCAAGGCGACGACGGGUAGCCGGCCUGAGAGGGUGACCGGCCACACUGGGACUGAGACACGGCCCAGACCCCUACGGGAGGCAGCAGUGGGGAAUAUUGCACAAUGGGCGAAAGCCUGAUGCAGCGACGCCGCGUGAGGGAUGACGGCCUUCGGGUUGUAAACCUCUUUCAGCAGGGAAGAAGCGAAAGUGACGGUACCUGCAGAAGAAGCACCGGCUAACUACGUG
rnacentral:rRNA from 1 species